rnacentral:rRNA from 1 species
UACGGAGGGGGCUAGCGUUGUUCGGAAUUACUGGGCGUAAAGGGCGCGUAGGCGGUCGUGACAAGUCACUUGUGAAAUCUCCGGGCUUAACUCGGAACGGUCAAGUGAUACUGUCGGACUAGAGUACAGAAGGGGCAACUGGAAUUCUCGGUGUAGCGGUGAAAUGCGUAGAUAUCGAGAGGAACACCUGCGGCGAAGGCGGGUAGCUGGGCCGACACUGACGGCUGAGGCGCGAAAGCCAGGGGAGCAAACGGG